UGGGGAAUAUUGCACAAUGGGGGAAACCCUGAUGCAGCGACGCCGCGUGAGCGAAGAAGGUUUUCGAAUCGUAAAGCUCUGUCCUAUGAGAAGAUAAUGACGGUAUCAUAGGAGGAAGCCCCGGCUAAAUACGUGCCAGCAGCCGCGGUAAUACGUAUGGGGCGAGCGUUGUCCGGAAUUAUUGGGCGUAAAGGGUACGUAGGCGGUCUAUUAAGUCAGGUGUGAAAGCGUGAGGCUUAACCUCAUUAAGCACUUGAAACUGAUAGACUUGAGUGAAGGAGAGGAAAGUGGAAUUCCUAGUGUAGCGGUGAAGUCCGUAGAUAUUAGGAGGAAUACCGGUGGCGAAGGCGGCUUUCUGGACUUUUACUGACGCUCAGGUACGAAAGCGUGGGGAGCAAACAGG
rnacentral:rRNA from 1 species